AGCUCACCUCAACGAAGUUGGGGGAGCUUAUGUAAUACCCUCGGCGUCGGCGUCGGCGUCGGCGUCCCAGGUUAAGGUUUUUGGAGCAGUUUUCUUUUCAAGUACUUCUAUGGCCUAUAUUAGUCAGAGAUGCAUGGAGGAUGCUUCUAGUGUGUUUCAUUGUACCAGUCAAGGUCUCAGAUGCUGCAAUUUCAGCUAAAGAAUGACCAGGUUAAUGUUUUUGGAGCAGGUUAAAGUUUUUGGAGCAGGUCUCAUUUCCAAUUAACUAUAAGCCCUAUAUUGACUGAACUUGCAUGGAUGAUACAUCUAAGGAUGCACACUACUGAACUUGCUUCGGAUGCUGGAUCUGACCUACAUUUUCCGGAUGAGUGACUAGCCUAAGGUUUUUGGAGUAGAUCUCAUUUCCAAGUAACUAUAAGCCCUAUAUUGACCAAACUUGCAUGGAUGAUACAUCUAAGGAUGCACACUACUGGACUUGCUUCGGAUGCUAGAUCUGACCUAUAUUUUCCGGAUGAGUGACCAGGUUAAGGUUUUUGGAGCAGAUCUCAUUUCCAAGUAACUAAAAGCCCUAUAUUGACCAAACUUGCAUGGAUGAUACAUAUAAGGAUGUACACUAGUGGACUUGUUUCGGAUGCUGGAUCUGACCUAUAUUUUCUGGAUGAGUGACCAGGUUAAAGUUUUUGAAGCAGAUGUCAUAUCCAAGUAACUAUAAACCCUAUAUUGACCAAACUUGCAUGGAUGAUACAUCUAAGGAUUCACACUAGUGGACUUGCUUCAGAUGCUGGAUCUGACCUACAUUUUCCGGAUGAGUGACCAGAUUAAAGUUUUUGGAGCAGAUCUCAUCUCCAAGUAACUAUAAGGCCUAUCUGAACCAAACUUGCACGGAUGAUGCAUCAAGGGAUGAACAAUCUCAAAACUUGCUUCGGAUGCUGGAUUUGACUUACAUUUUCUGAAUGAGUGACUAGUUUUAAGUUUUCGAUAAGUCUAUUCCCAAGUAACUGCAAGCCCUAUUAGACCAAAAUUGCAUAAAUGUUGCAUCUAGGGAUGCACACUCCUAGAUUAUUAGUUUAGUGUGGGACUUUGCCUUACUUAAAGACAACAUUCGUUGAGGUGAGCUUUGUAAUCUCUGAUUACCUAUGUUUUUUUUUUUUUUAUCAGAUCAACCUAAAAAUUGCAUUCUGAUGUAAUUUUCUCAAAUUUUGGUUGCCCAUCCUUUUAAGUUUUGCCAAAAAGUGUUCGCACUUAAUGACACACAAUUUAUAUUUUUCUAUCAUAUUUUUAGGUCACCUGAGUUUACUCAGGUGAGCUAUUGCUAUCUGUUUUCGUCCGUCGUCGUGCGUCGUCCGUCGUGCGUUAACAUUUGAACAUUUUCAGCUUCUUCUCUGGAACCACUGAACCAAUUUCAACCAAAUUUGGCACAUAGCAUCUAGAUGUGAAGGGGAGUAAAAAUUGUGAAAUUCAUGACCCCUACCCCCCUGGGGCCUGAGGGGUGGGGCUAAAACCAUCAGAAUUAAUGCAAUCUUUAAAAAUCUUCUUCUUUACUCCUGGGCAUCAAGCAGGCAAACUGUUGGCAUGAAUGUAAUAAGCAUUGAGACCUCUACCUAAAUUGUGAAAUUUAUGGCCCCAGGGUCAGGGGUUCUGGUGCUAGGGUGGGGCUCUGUUGAAUAUGUAGUGAAAAGCAUUAUUCUUAAAAAAUCUUCUCCUCUGCUCUUUAGUAUUUAGAAAACAAACAAUAUGCAUAGUUAUGAUGAGGAAAGGUGUCUCUUCUAUAAUUGUGAAUUUCAUGGCCCCUGGGUCAGGGGUUCUGGUGUUAGGGCGGGUAUCUAAUGAUUAUAUAGUGAAAAUGCAUUAAUUAUUCAAAAAUCUUCUCCUCUGCUCCUGGGUAUUAAGCCGAUGAACUAAGUACAUAGUUAUGAUGAGAAAGAGUGCCUCUUCCAAAAUUGUGAAUUUCAUGGCCCAGGGGUCAGGGGUUCUGGUGUUAGGGUGGGGCUCUGUUGAAUAUAUAGUGAUAAUGCAUUAUUUCUUUAAAAAGCUUCUUCUGUGCUUUUGGAUAUUAUGAAAACAAAAUAAAUAAAUAGUUAUGAUGAUGAAAGGUGCCUCUUCCAAAAUUGUGAAUUUCAUGGCCCCAGGGUCAGAGGUUCUGGUGUUAGGGCAGCGUUCUGUUGAAUAUACAUGUAUAGUGAAAAUGCAUUAUUUCUUUUAAAAAUCUUCUCUGAUCCAGGGCAAACAAACUGAAGGCAUAGUUAUGAUGAAUAAGGGUGCCUAUUCCUAUCUUGUGAAUUUCAUGCCCCCCUGGUCAGGGGUUCUGGUUUUAGGGUGGGGCUCUAAUGAUUACAUAGUAAAAAUGCAAUAAUUCUUUGACAAUCUUCUCCUUUUCUCCUGGGUAAUAAUCCAAUGAACUACGAGUAUAGUUAUGAUAUGUAAGGGUGCCUGUUCCAAAAUUGUGAAAUUCAUGGCCCCUAGGUCAGGGGUUCUGGUGUUAGGGUGGGGCUCUGUUGAAUAUAUAGUGAUAAUGCAUUAUUUCUUUAAAAAUCUUUUUCUUUGAUCCUGGGUAUUUAACAAACAAACUGAUGCAUAGUUAUGAUGAGUAAAGGUGCCUCUUCCAAAAUUAUGAAUUUCAUGGCCCCUGGAUCAGGGGUUCUUGUGUUAGGGUGGGGCUCUAAUGAUUACAUAGUAAAAAUGCAAUAAUUCUUUGAAAAUCUUCUUCUUUUCUCCUGGGUAUUAAGCUGAUGAACUAAGAGUAUUGUUAUGAUAUGUAAGGAUGCCUCUUCCAAAAUUGUGAAUUUUAUGGCCCAUGCAUCAUGGUUCUGGUGUUAGGGCAGAGCUCUAAUGAUUACAUAGUGAAAAUGCAUUAAUUCUUUGAUAAUCCUCUGCUCUCUUUCUGGGUAUUAAGUAAGCUUACUAAAUGUAAAAUUAUGAUGAGCAAGUGUGCCUCUUUCAAAAUUGUGAAUUUCAUGGCCUCUGGUUUAAAACAUGAAUCCAUUGUGGCGAAGUUAUUGCAUGAUACUCAGGUGACCUAUAAGGCCCGUGGGCCUCUUGUUAAUGUAUUAAUCUGGGUAAUUUAUUCAAGUCUUUACAAUUAUUAUUUUUUUCAACAGUGUGUGCAAUAUUAUUUUUUUAAUCGGCUUAAGAGGAAAUCAUUAACAACAAUGCUGUGGAAAUUUGAUGCUUUGUAAUUAAGGAAAUCCUCUUAUCCAUAGACCUAUAAUGAGUAAGAAAUCAUUAUAUAUCUGUAAAUGUACACGUCUCCUAUCUUUAUUUAUUAUUCUAGUCAUUAUCCUUUUCUGUCCACGUAAUAUUCCUAAUUAAUCUGAUGAAGACUCUAAUAUUUAGAGGAGGUGAUUACUUUGAAGAUGUUAUUAAGAUGGGAUAAAGCUAAGUACACAGGUACUCACAGGGUCUACAUGUUUGUACAGUGGAUUGUUUCAUCAGUGGAAAGUCAAACUUUCUGUGAAUUUUUUUUUUUUAAUUUUAUUUAUAUUAUUUAUUUUUGUUACUGUUUAAAUACAUGCUGUUAUACAUUUUAUGUGUUUGCUUUUAAAUCGUUCAGUUCAUUAAACAAAUAAAUUUUUA